GCGCCCAUCGUCUAGCGGUUAGGACGCCGCCCUCUCACGGCGGUAACACGGGUUCGAGUCCCGUUGGGCGUACCA
rnacentral:tRNA from 16 species